rnacentral:rRNA from 1 species
AACGAACGCUGGCGGCAGGCUUAACACAUGCAAGUCGAGCGCGUAGCAAUACGAGCGGCAGACGGGUGAGUAACGCGUGGGAAUCUACCCAACCCUACGGAAUAACGCAUGGAAACGUGUGCUAAUACCGUAUACGCCCUUCGGGGAAGGAUUAUCGGGAGUGGAUGAGCCGCGUUGGAUUAGCUAGUUGGUGGGGUAAGGACCUACCAAGGCGACGAUCAUAGCUGGUCUGAGAGGAUGAUCAGCCACAUUGGGACUGAGACACGGCCCAAACUCCUACGGAGGCAGCAGUGGGGAA